rnacentral:rRNA from 1 species
UACGUAGGGUGCAAGCGUUGUCCGGAAUUAUUGGGCGUAAAGAGCUCGUAGGCGGUUUGUCGCGUCUGCUGUGAAAUCCCAGGGCUUAACCCUGGGCCUGCAGUGGGUACGGGCAAACUAGAGUGCGGUAGGGGAGAUCGGAAUUCCUGGUGUAGCGGUGAAAUGCGCAGAUAUCAGGAGGAACACCGGUGGCGAAGGCGGAUCUCUGGGCCGAUACUGACGCUGAGGAGCGAAAGCGUGGGGAGCUAACAGG